rnacentral:rRNA from 1 species
UACGGAAGGCAGCAGUGGGGAAUAUUGCACAAUGGGCGAAAGCCUGAUGCAGCUAUGCCGCGUGUAUGAAGAAGGCCUUAGGGUUGUAAAGUACUUUCAUCGGGGAGGAAAAAACAAAACUAAUAAUUUUAUUUCUUGACGUUACCCGAAAAAGAAGCACCGGCUAACUCCGUGCCAGCAGCCGCGGUAAUACGGAGGGUGCUAGCGUUAAUCAGAAUUACUGGGCGUAAAGAGCACGUAGGUGGUUUUUUUAAGUCAGAUGUGAAUCCCUGGGCUUAACCUGGAACUGCAUUUUGAAACUGAAAUACUAGAGUAUCGUAGAGGGAGGUAGAAUUCUAGGUGUAGCGGUGAAAUGCGUAGAUAUCUGGAGGAAUACCUGUGGCGAAAGCGGCCUCCUAAACGAAUACUGACACUGAGGUGCGAAAGCGUGGGGAGCAAACAGGGAUUAGAUACC